GCCUCCUCAGGAACUGCCACUGGAAACUCCAUUACCAUGAAGCUAAACAUAUGAAACAACCACUGAAUCCCACCAGCAUUCUUCUGCCGUACAAAUUCUGUAUGGUGGUGAUGGGUUGGAGCAGAGGAGAAGGGAGAAAAUGGAAUCAAGUUUGGGGGUGCAGGAAAUGACAGAUAUGACACUCAUUGGGCCUUCUGCCUUGGUUUGAAAUAUAGCAUUACGGUUCCUUUAUGAACUCAACUGAGGAGGAAAAAAAGGUAUUUUGGAAAGAAAAGGAAAAACACAAUCCACCUGAGUUCCUCGCUGAUGUCAGGGUGACCAGACAUCUGUCUUUUUCAGGAUAUGUCCAACAUUUCAGCCUUCUGUUCAGGAGAAA